GUAGAAUACAGAAUCACUACCUAUGUAGUUAUAGAAAGAUUUAGGUUGUUAAUAUCUUUCAUAUUUCUUUUAUUUAAGAAGCUCGGGUUGGCUAUGUUUUGCAGGUGAACUCGCUCGUGUUGGUGGAGGCUCAUUAGUGUAAUUGAGUUUAUCAUCUUGGCGGAUCAAGUAGAUGGGAGUCGAUGAGCUAUGAGGACUACUACAAAAGAGAAGGCUGAAGCAGAGAACGUCGUUUCAAAUGUCUAGCAAGUUGCGCGCAUUUGUAAUAUUUUUUAAUUAAUCAUAUAGCUAACUAGAAUAUUUGUGUUGUUUUCAUUAUAUUUGGAUGAUAAUGUAUGAAUAUUUCGGAUGUUAUAUAAUAUAUGUUAUCGAUGGCAA